ACGAUGAAGCAGGCCUGUGAUUGCAAUGGUAACUCUAGCUUGUGUCAGAUGACACAACACUAUGCAGCAUAAAGACUGUUGGACAUAAAUGCAUCUAGAACAAUGAAAAGAAAAUCUAUACUCAGGUUGGCGUGACCAGAAUCCCUUGUGUAAACAAGGGAGGGAAAGUUGAUUUUGGCUCAUGGUUUCAGAGAGCUUUCAGGUAAUGAUGGAAGAAAAGCAUCGGGGUGUGACAGAGACUGGCAAGGUGGUGGAAGACAGGAGGCACCCCACACAGGAUGAAACCAGAGGCAGAUACCUUCAAGACCUGGUAACCUCCUUCUGCCAGGAGUCCCUCUUGUCCCCAAGUACCACAAUGUCCUCAAACAGCACCACUGGUUGGUGUUUAAACUUGUGUAUCUGCAGGAACAUUUCAGCUUCAAACUAUAAAAACUAGAGACCACGGGUGAAACUUUAUAUUUUGACUGUUGUUGUUGUUUGUUUUGUUUUGUUUUGUUGGUUGCUGUUGCUCUUCAGGGUCUGAGAUUAAAUGAUACAGACUACUCCCUUUGGAAAAU